rnacentral:rRNA from 1 species
CAGCAGCCGCGGGAAUACGAAGGGGGCUAGCGUUGCUCGGAAUGACUGGGCGUAAAGGGCGCGUAGGCGGCAUAUACAGUCAGGCGUGAAAUUCCCGGGCUUAACCUGGGGGCUGCGUUUGAUACGUAUGGGCUAGAGUGAGGAAGAGGGUCGUGGAAUUCCCAGUGUAGAGGUGAAAUUCGUAGAUAUUGGGAAGAACACCGGUGGCGAAGGCGGCUCACUGGCUUAUUCUAGACGCUGAGGUGCGAAAGCGUGGGGAGCAAACAGGAUUAGAGACCCCCGUAGUCCCUGUCUCUUAUAC